rnacentral:rRNA from 1 species
UACGUAGGGUGCAAGCGUUGUCCGGAAUUAUUGGGCGUAAAGAGCUUGUAGGUGGUUUGUCGCGUCUGCUGUGAAAAUCCGAGGCUCAACCUCGGACUUGCAGUGGGUACGGGCAGACUAGAGUGUGGUAGGGGAGACUGGAAUUCCUGGUGUAGCGGUGGAAUGCGCAGAUAUCAGGAGGAACACCGAUGGCGAAGGCAGGUCUCUGGGCCAUUACUGACACUGAGAAGCGAAAGCGUGGGGAGCGAACAGG